ensembl:lncRNA
UGUUGACAGGGGAGAUUGGUCCUUUAUAGUUCUAGACUUACAGAUAUGCUCAUAAACCAGAGAUCCCUUAACAGUAACAAUUACCAUUUCUUGAGCAUUGUGAUGGUCAAUUCACUUAUCUUCUCUGCCUCUCUGGGCUCUGCAAGCCUGACCUCUGUGGACUGCUUGAUCCAGGUUUGGAGCCCUCAGUUUCACCCAUGGAAGCCAUACACAAGAGAUCAGAAGGCAGGAAAACAGAGGGUCAUCAUUGCCAUCUUCCUAAAUUCCAUAUAUAUGUGUUAGUAUACUGAAUCCAGAGGCUAGGUAAAGAUGGCGGAGGAAUAGGACGGGAAGACCACUUUCUCCCUCACAAAUUCUUCAAAAGAACAUUUCAAUGCUGAGCAAACUCCACAAAACAACUUCUGUAGGCUGGCAGAGGACAUCAGGCAACCAGAAAAGCAGACCAUUGUCUUCAAAAACAGCUGUUAAAGCUUCCAAGUACAAAUGAAGUGACCCUCGUCAAGCAACAGAGAAACAAAUUCUCCAGCAGCUAUUUCCUGUCUGACAGUUGGCGUGCUUCACUGACUGUAGUGUCAGCCUCGAAACCUUCAUCAUAAGUGUCAUUUGGUCUUAACUUUGCAAUAAGAAUUCCACCCAUGUGCCCAGGGCUCCUCUGGCAGCCUCUUCCGUCUCCACUGGCCAAUCGAGGUAACUUUCAACAGCUUGAUUCCUACAGCGCCUGGGCAUACUUCCAUGACAGCACUGUGCACACGAUGCUGAAAUGAUUGCUUUCCACAGAAAUCUCCCUCACCAAACUGUCAACUCCUGAGAAAUGACCCCAUCCAUCUCUGAGACCUGCAGUCCUAAUAGAGCGCAUUGCUCCAAAUUUGAAGGAGGAAGAAAGGAAAAGAGAGCAGAGGAAAGGAAAAGGGAAAAAAUAAGAGGGAGAAGGACAGAAUAUACACAAUCCAAUAAAUAUUUCUAGGUUCUG